UACGUAGGUGGCAAGCGUUGUCCGGAUUUACUGGGCGUAAAGGGCGUGCAGGCGGUCUGUUAAGUGCAGGGUGAAAGCUCCCGGCUCAACUGGGAGAGGUCCUUGCAUACUGGCGGACUUGAGGGGGGUAGAGGAAAGUGGAAUUCCCGGUGUAGUGGUGAUAUGCGUAGAUAUCGGGAGGAACACCUGUGGCGAAGGCGGCUUUCUGGGCCCUACCUGACGCUGAGACGCGAAAGCGUGGGGAGCGAAACCGG
rnacentral:rRNA from 1 species